GCUUAGUGAUGCUCCAACCAGUACUUGAAUGUGUUCCAGACUCUUGGGAGAGACAGAAGCUAAGCCCACUGGCUUAUAAUGUCCAGACUCUAUUCUCUUCCCCUUUUAGUAAAAACAGGUCAUUUUGCAGUAUUCUAGCACAGGGGCCUCUUUCCCACUCACCAAGGUAUUUCACUGAGAGAUCCCUCACUGGCAGUGACUUGGCUGUCCCAUCUACUCUGAGAAGAAGUUUAUCCAGCCCUGAUGCCUCGAAGUCCUUGAGUCUUAUCAGACCCUCUGGGCUGAAGAUUUGACAUCCUGCUCCUGAAUCUCCUGGUAGCCAUGGACGUGAUUUACGACUAUCUACACAUCUUUGCUGUUGGUGUUUACAACUCCUUCCAAACGAACAUAGAACAGAUUCCUAUCCUGGCCCAAAAUAUCUGUUCUGGGAUGUUUAUCCCCACCCUGUGGACCCUGUGGCAGGCACUACUUAUGAUGAAGACCUGUGCUAUAACAUUCAUUACUCUUCUGCUUCCCACGGCUCAAGAUUCCACUCUCUGCUUUCCAAGACACCUCGCACGAGUGACUAAUGUCAACACUUAAUGGGACGCAAUGGGCCUAUCAUGGCCUGGUCUUCCUCCACCAGAAAAAUGGUUAUGAAGUAGUCCUAAAGGCUAUUCUCUAUCAUCUACUCUUCACCUUGAUCAUGAUGUGUCUGUGCAGCCUCUUGGCUAGGAUUUCACCACAGGGCCAGGAUACUGAGACAAUUAUGGCAGAUGCAGUUCCGGAGAAGAAAUGUUCAUUUGUGCGCCAGAAGCCCCAGGCGUCGGUGACACAAUCUAGGUGUCGGAUCACGGCGGCCAAUACCUUCUCCUCCAACUUUGGAAGCCCAGCCCUCUCAAGUCAACAGAGCUGGACCCAAUUUUCUUCAGUUUCAAGUCAACCCAGCUGAGCCUCAUUUCCCAAGCCUCCCUAAUUACAACAUCUGACAUCGGGAGUGGGAAAUGGGAGAAUCAGCAGCAGCAGCUUUGGCGUCACUGUCGUGGUCUUGGUCAUGGUCAUGGUCAUUCUGAGCACACCCCUGAGCCACAUACUUUUCACCAGAGCCAUGCUCACACCUAUCCCUUCACUAGCCACAUCUUCCAGGCUCUGAACAUCAGAACCAGAUACCACAGCAUUCACACCAGAGGGAUACCCAUGAACAGCAGGAUGCUAGGUGAAGUGAGGAAGAAGUCAGCUGUCCAGUCACCAAGGCAGACUCUUUACCAGUAAAUCGCAAAUAUCGGCAUUGCCACUAUUAUGUUCUCAAUCUACUGUGCAUACCUGUACCCUCAAAUCACCAAAUAAAGUGACUCCUUGUGAAAUGGC